rnacentral:rRNA from 1 species
UACGUAGGGCGCAAGCGUUGUCCGGAAUUAUUGGGCGUAAAGGGCUCGUAGGCGGUUCGUCACGUCGGGAGUGAAAACUCGGAGCUUAACUCCGAGCCUGCUUCCGAUACGGGCAGACUAGAGGUAGGCAGGGGAGAGCGGAACUCCUGGUGUAGCGGUGGAAUGCGCAGAUAUCAGGAAGAACACCGGUGGCGAAGGCGGCUCUCUGGGCCUUACCUGACGCUGAGGAGCGAAAGCGUGGGAGCGAACAGG